UUAAGAAUUAUUCGAUGGAAUUGUCAUCCUAUAGUACCAACCACUGCGGUUCACUAUUAUUUAAAGAAAAUUCAGGGCAAGUGCAUAAUUUUUGAUUAAAAUUGUCACGAUAAAUUGAAAUUUUCGUUACAUAAAAAUCCACAACUCUGUGAACGCACCCCACCUCCCCAUCUAGAAACCAACAGCCGGUAAUUCACUAUUAGUUCAACGCCACUCAGCGCCCCCAAUUGCCCCUUUAUCAACCAACAGUUUGAUGAACGGAAUGCUCCUUUAUCUAUAAACAGCUUGAUGAUGGCCCACUACGAAACGUGAUAUUGUCAAGCUUUUUGAGUUUUCAAGUCUUUCCACUGAAGUUCCCUAUUAAUCAUUUCGAAAAAAUGCCCCCAAAAAUGCUUUAUUAUCAAGCAAAAGCUACACCGACAUGCACCUUUCCCAAUAAGUAGCUUUACGGUGGGAGUUUUGUCUUAAACUGUCUUGAAAUGGCUCGUGUCUUUAAUUGUCUGAGGGUGGGUUCGUUCACAGAGUUGGGAUAGCAACCGCUGAAAUUUUUAUUUUGAAAGUCUUAAACCCAGCGACAACUUGCACCCUUUGAAAUGAGUAAUUUAACGCUGAAAUUGUCUCGUCUAACAUUGAGUUUUUUUCUGUUUGCGAUUUGCCGCAAACUGUCUUGUUCUGAAAAUUACAACCACUGAAAUUUGCUAUUUAAAAAAGAAAUAAACCUGCGGUUUAAUUUUUCGUAAAGUGAAACUGAAUCGAGACGUUCUAAAAUCAACUACAAUUCUGUAUUUUUUUUUGCAGGAAGCUCCAACUUUCUGUGGAAUUUUUCUGACUAUGACAGUUACGAACGGGGGAGAGUUCUCUAGAAUAAGUUCUUUGUAACGCUUGAACGUUUGAGUCUAACUCAUCCAUCCAAAGUGCACCGCCCAGCCGAGCGGUUGUGGAAUUGUGAUAUUUCACAAUACUUAGCCACUGGUCACUCAAAAUCUUUUCACUUACUUUAUUGACAAUGAGGUUGUCUACUAAGUCUUCACUCGAUCACUUUUAUAGAUGUAAGCUGCUAUUUUUGUUCCUUCCGUUCCUCUGCACCAGACCAGGGUUGAAACCAGACCCCGAAUACCAAAUGGCUAAAUCCCGGGUGGACUCCUUGAACAGCUAAGUCCCGGGUGGACUUCUCAAUCGGCUAAGUCUCGGCUGACUUCUCAAACGGCUAAGUCCGGCUGGAGUGGGGACUCUGCUAAUGGUGGCUGCUGGCUUCCUUAGAGGAUCUGGACUUGAGCUGCUACUGGAACUGACUUUCCUCAAGAAUUAUUUCGACUUUUAUAGUCAGUUUUCCAAACUUUGUUCUAACAAAAAUGGUCAGUUUCGAUGAAGAGCAUCGAUGAACCUCAUGAACUUUUUUAAGCUGACCUCUGUGGUUUUGUCUGGCUGUCCGCGUGGUUGCGUGAGUUCAACUCUAAACUAAAAGUCAUGAGUUUAAUCCCUUUUGCAAAAGACUUGAUUUACGACAUUAGAAUGUCGAGAUUGCUUUUAUCUACACCGUUUUAAAAUGAGUUUCAUAAUGAGGAAGCCGUGUUUCUACCUGAAUUGACAUGUCCAUGAAUAUAAUUAUGCCACUCCCUCAAUUUUCCCCUGCGCUAUAACAUCGCCCCGUUGAAAUCGAAAGCUUAAUCAAUUCUUUGAUUGCCUAUUAUUUGGCGAUAUUCUAUAAAAGGGCUCUUCGGAUGGCGUAUGACUCAUGAUCAGUAUUUAAUGUAGACUUUUGCAUUUAUGCUAUCUCAAUUUCGCUGAUUAUAACGGAAUUUGGGAAAGAAUAAUUUCAUCUUCAAAAUGAAGAUCUUUUGAGUACGAUUACCCAGUCAGAAUCCUGUCCGACCGUUGCUAGAAUCCAGCCCGAACGCCGUGACUGGGAAGCAGCUGUCAAACGGCGGUGUACGCUACACGCUCAACAAGUUGCAUCCAAGCUUGCACCCAAGCUUUGCGUGCUGCGCUCAAGUUUCUAUUGUUUACGCUGAAAAUGAAAGGAACAUUUGCGGACCUCUUCUAAACGGUCCCAGCUGGCGGGCAAAGCUUCUUCUGACACCAAUGUUGCAGGCCUGCAUGCGAUAAAGCGUGAAAUCGUGCCAUCUCGUUUAACAUUAAUGUUUGUCAAUUUGUAUAUAAGCAACUGAAGAUUGAAGUCUUUUUACUAUGUCUAAACAAGCCUGAAUUAAUUCCAGUUCUACGAAGAAUUGGAGUCAUCUUAAAAUUAUGCGUUUUUUUCCUGACAAACGCUGUAAUUUCUAUAACCAAAAACGUAAAAUUACCCCCGACAAUGCACCUUUUGCUAGCAACAAAUUUACGCAAGCUUUAUUCAGACGCCAGUUAAUAAUCUACGUAGUUUCGUACAAUUGUCUUUGUCUAACUGUCUCUUACCUGACUAAGGUAGUGUCUCUCCACGGUUGAUGUCUUUAUUAUGUCGAUUCAUCUUGCGAAAACCAAAUGAAGCUUGCCGCUCUCUUCUAAACGUCCCAUCCUAGAGGGCACUAGCAUCCGCUGUCACCAUAUGUGCAGGCCUGCAUGGUCAAGAAUUGUCAACUUUUAUUCAUAGUAAUUUGAAUGCAUUUUUUCGUAAAUUGUUCAAGUCUGUCUUUGCAAUCCCGCUAAAGCUGUCUGUCUAUUCUAUUAAAACUUAUUUUACGGAGCUUGGAGCUCGUAUGUAACCAGCUUCUUGAUUAUUUGUAAUUGUUACAUAAAAUGUAACACUCGAUUACAUGUAAUAAGAAAUUACGUAAUAGUCGAUUACGACCCGAGAAAUUGUAACUAGAUAUUACUUAAACGUAAUUUUGGUUGUAAUAAUCUGCACAGUUGAUGUCUACGGCUAUCUUCUCUUCCAACGAAUUGAACUUGUUGCUGUUGAGCAGAUUUCAAAAAAUGUUCUCGGUCUAAAUGCUUUUUUGGGGUCACUAAAGUUAAUUGCACAAUCUAACUUUGCCCUACACUAAAAACUUAUAACCUAGGCCGAUUACGAGUCCGCAAAGUCGACACAGGGAAACUGCUGAUCAAAACCAAACUUACCAGGUAGCUUACCGACUGCACCAGCUAAGUCUAGUGGGAGCGUUCACCUGAUUCGAGCUAAGCUUUCCCCGACUGUCGUUGUAUCCAACUUGCACACCACACGACUUUCGUGUUUCUCCGUGCCUGUCACAAUCACGCAUGUGUUUUUCCGUGCCUGUCACAAUCACGCAUCUCUUUUAUUCUCUUUUCACUGCUCACAUCUUUAGCUGUCAUUCGAGCACAUCCCGAGAAAAAGAAAACUCAGAGUCGAACAUAACAGUCGAAUUUCGUUCAACCACUCUAUUUUUUAUAGCAGCGAUUCUCAACGGGGGUACCGGGCCUACUUGAUUUACACGGUAGGGGGUACCAGCCUAGAAGAAGGUUGAGAAUCGCUGUUUUAUAGGAACAGUUGUCCCAGAAUGGGCUCAUUUUUCAAGCAACAUUUUCUUUAUUUUUAUUUUUUUUAGUUUUUUUAUAAUAUCCUCCAUUUUUCGGAGCUUUUUUCUUCUAUUUUAUGUUUAAAUCUAUUAGUGGCUAUUACGACAAGGACAGCUGGUUAAAAAAUAGAAAAUUCUUUUGAUUGAUUUAACCAACCUUUAACAGGACAGACUUUUGGAGUUUGGCGUCGGUAAUUUUCUCUCCUGAUAAAGUUAUGUCCUCGUAGUCGGUUUGCAGGGCAGUUAAAUAAAUAUGAUCGUGUUAGUAUCGUCGGCCUCCAGCAGUUGGUUAGUGUUGGUACUGGUUUGGACUACUUGGAUGUCCUUCCCCUCUACUUUCUCCGUAGUUUGUGGGAAUUACAUAGUAAGUUUGACCUGACCCUUAUCCUGCUUAGAUUUCAGCACUUUCCGGCUGUCUCCGCUCCGACCCACUAGCGCGGGCUGAACUUGUUACUGUUGAGAAAAUUUCAACAAUUGCUCUCUGGUUUAAAUGUCUAAACGGUAGUCUCAGUCUUCGCGACCAGGACCUCCACGGUUGAUGUCUUUAUUAUGUCGAUUCAUCUUGCGAAGCCACACAGUAAAAAGCAGUGAUUUUCUCUUUUUUCCGUACCUGUCAAAAUCUGUUUCGGAUUCUUGUGGAGAUCCUUCUAUAGUGUAUAUAUUCCUGUUUUGAUAAACUCUUUGGACUGAGAAGAUAACGGGGGAAAAUACACAGAUGCAAAGAUGUAAGUCUCUUUUGCAAUCUGAGCUUUGACCCAUACGUGUUCAAAAUGUGCAAAAACGUCAGAGUCAAGUUUUGCUGAGUCAAAAUGGAUGAUAAUAGAUAUCUAUCCUUCCUUAAUACAUCAAAGUUGCUAGAGAAAACCUCUUCGCUUGAAAUACUAGCGUCCCAACUGGUCUCCGUGCCAAGAAUAGCAGUAUAAAGGCUGAUAGCUUGAUUAAUAGCGUCGAUUUUUGCAGCACUCUUCAUUCUAUUGAAGUUUUGACAGUAAGUCAAAAUUUCAAUUAAAUUAUUAGACGCAGUGGUUGAACUUGUCAGAAUUAAAUUAUCGCUAGCUUCACAUGAAGGCGUCCUUGUUACUGAUGAGAAAAUUUCAACAAUUUUAUGUCGAUUCAUCUUGCGCAACCACAAAGCAAACAAAGUGAAUUUCCCUUUUUUCCGUGCCUGUCAAAAUCACGCAUCUCUCUUUUACUCCUCUUUCAUUUCCACAUCACUGCUCACAUCUCUACCGCUGUCAUUCAAGCACAUGCCGAGAAACUUUUUUAAACUUUUGUUCGUGAUUUGAAGUUUGGCUCCUCCUUGGAAGCUUUGUUUAAAAUUCACUAGUUCUUGUGUAAUACUUUUCUUCGCAGUUCCUCCCGCCUGUUCUUGAACCAAAAUGAAAUUGGAUCUAAUGUCCGUGACACACUUGCUAAGACUUUCCUUGAUGUAGUUUUUUAGUUCUUUAAGCCUUUUGGCUAAUGUUUUUUGAGUUUCAAAAUUCUUCUCGCUGAAAAUUGCUUGCUGAGGCUUAUCCAGAAUCUCGUUGAUUUUAAUUUGUGCAGACUCGAGUGAUUUUCUAGUUUGCACUUUUUGUAGAAGGAAUGUUAAUGUUAGUCUGAUGGUUUCUUCUUUUUGUAAGAAAUAUUCCAUUAGGGCAAUCUGGGCACUAUUUGUGAUAGUUUAUUUGUUUCUUUUUUUUGAAGGUUUGUGAUCUAACAAUCCAAGUGAAUAUAUUAAGUGAAAGUCUGUAAUCAUUCUACGCAAAAAGAGAAGGAAGAGAUUGGUUUCAAUUUUUUUACUGGCAUUUGAAAGCACUAAUGUUGAUAUUAUUUCACAUAAAAAAAAUUGCUGAAAGAUUAAUCGGAAAAGCUGGUGCUGGUAUCCUUAUACUUGCUGUUUUGCCGACGGCAGCUGAGAUGAGCCCGUGUAGGAAUAUCGGUAUCGGUUCACCAUUUUGCUUUCCAUGAGGCUGCAGGAUCGCCAUGUAAAGUCUUUUUUAUUUGUAUAAGUCUGUUUCAAAGUAUUUUUAGCAGAAAACUUCAUAAUCAUAAUUAUUUCUUUGAUAAAAAUUAGUAUUAUUAUUGUAUCUGAAAUUUCUGAUUUUUCUUUCAGAAUUAAGGUUUGCAUUUGCAGUACUAGCAAGUAACCUCUGUUCGUGAAUUAUUAGAUACUCUUUAUCAAUUCGUUCAUUUUCUAAAAAUUCUAGCAAAUUUUCUAACUUCAUAUGACGGUUAUUCGUGGCAAUUUCUUUGAUUUCAUUAUUUAUAAUUCCAACUGUAAAGUGGCUUUUUAAGCUAUAAGCUGUAUAUGAAUUUUCGUUGUAAUUUUGUUCAAUUUUUAGGAUUUCAUAAUUAAUGUCAAGAACUCUAUUUGCAUAAGAUUUAAAUGUUUCGUGAACACCUUGUUCCAGAGUUUCAAUUUGUUCAAUUAUACUACCAAAGGUAGUUUUGAUUCCAAACUCUCUAAUUAAAUUUGCCUUGAUUUCUUCCCAAGUGUUAGCAUAAAUUCGUUUAAUACGUUCUGCUGCUUUCAAUUUAAGUUUCAUAAAAAUAAGAUUUAAGAAAUGAGCCUGAUCCUCGCCAUCAGGAUUUUAUUCAGCAUAAUAAUCGAUUAACAUUAAAAAUUGCUCAAGAGAGUCUAAUGAACCAUCCAAUUCUGGAAUAAGCUGAAUUGCAUCCAUCACCUGCAAAUUCGCCAUCUUUGAGCGUGUUUUUUGUGAAUUUCCCUUUUUUCCGUGCCUGUCAAAAUCAAACAUCUCCUUAGUUUCCCUUUCAUUCCCAAAUCACUGCUCACAUCUCUAUCGCUGUCAUUCAAGCACAUCCCGAGAAAAAGAAAACUCACAGGUCAAAUUUCAUUACAACCACUCUCACUUUUAUAGAAACAGCUUCCAGUUUGGUCUUCUGUAAUUUGUUUAUUAUUGUUUCGGAUGAAAUUUGUCCUUGGAGAAAUCUUACAGUUUUGAUUAGAGGAGCUUGUUUUUGCUCGUUGUUGUUUUGCUUGCUAGUUUUGUUAAUGAGGUCUUAUACCUCUAUUUUCUGUUUGGGUUUUUUGAGAAAUUUUUUAGAAUAACCCCCAGACCUUCAUAUGUUUUUUUCUAAUAGAUUUUUUGUCAUCUAUACAUUUAUAUGAAGAUUAUAGCGGGUAUGCAAUCACCGUAGUGCGCUCCCCUUCUUGAAGAUUGAUGAAAACACCGCGUAAGGAUAUGCAUCCGUUUAAAAAAAUCGCACUCCCCUUUACGGUUGUUUAUUUUAUGGCGCGGCUGCACCACGUUCUACGUCUCUUUUCUUCUAGUUUAUGUAAGAUUUCGUAGUCAGAGAGUUCCACUCGUAAGUUUUAAAUUUCAUUUUAAAUGUGGUUCAGGAUGGCAAGCACUUCUAAUACAUGUUAACGAAAUCACUCUGGUUAAGUCUUUCUUCAGUCUUGAUCCGUUCGUAGCGGAUGACCAUAUGGUCACUGCUGUGUUAUUAUUUUUCCUUGAAGGUAUCGCAGUUGUUUUAUUAAAAGAGUUUGUUUAUACUCUAAUAGAUGGUUAAUUUCCUGGAGCCCAAAUUCAUAUAUUUUUUAUUUGGCAUUUUCUAAUUUGCUUACUGUUAAUAUUUUAUAUUUGUAGUUUCUUUCAAGUUUUUUUUUUGUAGUAUUAAACUAAGUCCCCUAAACUGUUAUUUAUGCGAUCUUAUGUCAUUAGAAAAAAAAAAUACAUUUAUUGUAGUGUCACGGAGUCACGAAUGAAUAACAAUCGAACCGCACUGGAUGACGGCUAGAACCACGCUUAAUGUCUUCCAGCGGGCUGAACUUGUUACUGUUGAGAAAAUUUCAACAAUUGCUCUCGGUCUAAAUGUCUAGCAGUUGAUGUCUAUAUUAUGUCGAUUCAUCUUGCUAAGCCACAAAGUGAAUUUCCCUUUUUUCCGUACCUGUCAAAAUCACGCAUCUCUCUUUUUAGUUUCCCUUUCAUUCCCAAAUCACUGCUCACAUCUCUGUCGCUGUCAUUCAAGCACAACCCGAGAAAACAAAAACUUACAGUCAAAUUUCAUUACAACCACUCUAAUUUUUACAGAAACAGCUUCCAGCGAACAAAAUUGAUCUUGAUUUCGUAAAAUUGUCCCACAAAGUGUGUACGUCUAAGUUAUGAACGAUGAAGUCGGGACGUGAGCUUUACUGGCAUAUUUAUUUGCAGUAUCACCGGGCAUAUCGUCAUCACGCUACGCUUGCUCGAGAGCCAACGUAUGUUUCUCAAUUUCCCGAGUGAAGGUUUUUAUAUCGCCAGUUUGUUUAGUGGCGUUUAACGUUUCCAGGGCAGCUUCUGGGCUUCCGACUGUAUUUACUUAGUCUAUUAGGCGUUCAUUAUGUUUUUUUUAACUGAUUUUUUUUUUCAAUUUGAUUUUAAAUGUUUAUUCACAAACUUUCUUCUCUUCGUUUAAAUCAAUGUUCACUUAUCGCUGCGUAGCGAUAUUUUUCAACCUAGUCUCACGACUCGCGGCGGCCGUUUCCGUUCUUUGCACGUGUUUGGCAAAAAAUUUACCCAGCAUGUAAAUUAUUGCUGCUGCAGCUAGUACCACAAGCGCGAUGGCGCUUACAUGAUCUGUAGUUUUAACAGUAUUCACUUCACUGCUAAACCAACUCAUUUUAAUGCUUUUGCUACUUUACAAUUCACUACACUGGCAUAAAUCACUGUUGUGAAUAUUUCAUUCACUUUUAGUCUUCACUUUAAGCUUUGAACUUUAAACUAUAUUUUAACUUCAAACUUAUUGCUAACUUAAACUUAAGCCUUGUUGGCUGUGGUGAAUUCCUAGAACAAGAUGGCUAAUAAGCCACACCUACUUUUUGGCUAUUUACCAUCGAGUACUCUUUUUUAAUAAAAUUUGAGAUAUCCUGGUCCAUGGAUUUCCAGUAAUAUCUUUGUUUGAUGGUAUUUUGUGUUCGUUUUCAUGCCCUGCAGUUGGCAAUAUGUGGUAAUUAUUAAUGAUGAGUUGUUGCUCAUCUUUAUUUUCAACAUGUUUUAUUUAAUUUCCUAUUACAAUGAUAAGUGGUAUACCAUUUAUUUUUAGAGCUUCUAUUUGCUUUUUUAUUUUUUUUAUAUGUCUGCAUAUUUUGCACGACUGGGCCUUUUAUCGGAUUCUUUUCUUAGACACCACUAGUCGUUUCAAUACUCCCCGUAGGUGAGAUAUUGACGUUUUAGGGUUAAUAAUCAGAGUUCCAUCCUCAAUCUUAAAUUCAUUAUCAUUACUUCCAAUUUGGAUUUGUAUGUAAUCUGUUGCAACCUCUUGUCGCACAAAAUUUAUUUGAGGCGUAAGUGCCUGGAGAUCUUCAAUAGAAAUACGUGACAACGCGUCCGCUAUCACGUUUUCUGAUCCCUUUUUGUAUACGACAUCAAAUUUAUAUUCUUCUAGUGCUAACCGAAAUUUGGUUAAUCUACUCGAAGGGUCAGUUAAUGUGAAUAAAUAAACUAAAGGACGGUGGUCUGAAUAAACAUCAAAUCUUCUCCCAUACAAAUAUGGUCUGAAAUGUCUGAUUGCCCAAACCACUCCAAGUAGUUCUUUUUCAAUUGUGCUGUAGUUUAUCUCAGCUUUAUUCAAUGCUUUACUCGCAAAUGCAAUAGGUCUACCAUUUUGGUUGCUUAAAACAGCACCAAUAGCUUUUCCUGAUGCAUCUGUGUGUAAAGUAAAUGUGUUUUUAUCCGAAAAAUCUGGAUAAUCUAAUAUUGGUGGAGUAAUAAAACAAUUCUUCAAAUGCUGGAAACUGUUUUCACAUUCUUCCGACCACUCAAAAUCUACACCUUUUCGUGUUAGUCUAUUUAAAGGACUGCAAAGUUUGGCAACAUUUUUGAUGUGCUUUCUAUAGUAUUUAGAAAAAGCUACAAAUCUCUUUACUUCAUCAGCCGUUUUAGGGCUGCUCCAUCUCUUAAUUAUUUCAAUUUUCGAAGGACCUGGUUUGAUACCUUCUUCAGAAACAGUGUGACCCAAAUAGAUCAACUCCUUCUUCAAAAAGUUACAUUUCAACGGGUUUAAUUUCAAAUUAGUUUGUCGUAAUCGUUCGAAAACAUCAAAAAGAUUUCGAUUGUGAUCUUCAAGUGUUUUUUGCCAAAGACGAUUAUAUCAUCAAGAUAAACUAAACACCUUUCCAUAUUGAGACCAGCCAUCGCGACAGUCAUUAAUCUUGAAAAAUUGAAGGGCUAUUUUUAAACCCAUAGGAAGACGAGUCAUUUGGUACUGUCCCCUAUUUGUACAAAAUGAAGUACAGGAUCUGUCCUCCGGUCUUAUCUCACAUUGAUAAUAACCUUGAGUUAGAUCCAAAUGCGAAAAAUAUUUUGCUCCUGCUAAAGAUUCUAUAACUUCCUCAAUAUUUGGAAGUGGAAAUUUAUCAUCCUGUAAAACGUUGUUUAACUUACGAUAAUCUAUGACUAACCGCCAUUUUUUACUAUCGUCAGUUGAUUUCUUAGGAACUAAUAACAAAGGACUAUUCCAUUCUGAUACAGUCUCUUCGAUUAUAUUGUCGUUUAGCAUUUUAUCAACUAGUCUCUGUACCUCAUCACGCUGAGAUUGUGGUAACUUAUAUGGACGGGUAUACACUGGUUGUGUAUCCGGUUUAACUUUCAAAGAUGGCUGAUAAUUUUUUGUAACAGUUAUUUUGUCAUCUUGUCAUAAAACAAAAUAUAUAUCACUAAAUUUCAAACAAAGUUUAGUAAUUUCAACUUUAUCUUUUUCAUUAAUUCCAUCAAAAUUUAAUUCUGAUAAAAGUUUGUUUGCUCUGUCCACAUUAUGAGGAUAAGCACUACCUAUUUUUAUCAAAUCAUAAUUUUUAAAAGGUUUGGCCAAAAGUUUCAAGUCAUUUACCUUUACGGCUUUAUUUUUCCAAAAUUCUAGCAAAUUUUCCAACUUCAUAUGACUCACUUGCAAAUUCGCCAUCUUUGAGCGUGUUUUAUUUUGUGAAUUUCCCUUUUUUCCGUGCCUGUCAAAAUCAAACAUCUCUUUAGUUUCCCUUUCAUUCCCAAAUCACUGCUCACAUCUCUGGCGCUGUCAUUCGAGCACACCCCGAGAAAAACAAAACUCACAGCUCAAAUUUCAUUACAACCACUCUAAUUUUUAUAGAAACAGUUUGGUCUUCUGUAAUUUGUUUAUUAUUGUUUCGGAGGAAAUUUGUCCUUAGAGAAAUCGUACAGUUUGGAUUUGAGGAGCUUGUUUUUGCUCCGGCAAAUACUCUAUUUCCGAAAGUCCUAUGGAAUAUAGGCUUUUCGCUUUGUCUAGUUUUGUUAAUGAGGUCUUAUACCUAUAUUUUCUGUUUGGGUUUUUUGAGAUUUUUUUUAGAAUAACCCCCAGACCUUCAUAUGUUUUUUCUAAUAGAUUUUCUGUCAUCUAGAUUACUUAUCUAUACAUUUAUAUGAAGAUUUUAGCGGGUAUGCAAUCACCGUAGUGCGCUCCCCUUCUUGAAGAUUGACGAAAACACCGCGUAAGGAUAUGCAUCCGUUUAAAAAAAUCGCACUCCCCUUUACGGUUGUUUAUUUUAUGGCGCGGCUGCACCACGUUCUACGUCUCUUCUCUUCUAGUUUAUGUAAGAUUUCGUAGUCAGAGAGUUCCACUCGUAAGUUUUAAAUUUCAUUUUAACUGCUUACUGAUGUUCUGCGAAUAUUUUUCCUCCAAUUUUAAAUCUCGCACAUUCUUGCUGCGUGCGGAUUCCGUCACUGGUGGUAUAUAUAACAUCUUUUCGUGGAUUUAAAAGAUGUUUAACUUUUGAAUUUGUUGUUUUCACCAGGGUUAUUUUACUGAAUUUUUAAGUUUUUUCACUAAUACUGAUUCUUUAAAGUUUUUCAGUACUGCUACACAGAAAAAAAAUCAAUUCCCGUAAUCGUGAAUUAAGUUCACGAAUGUGAGAUCCACGAAGGAGUUUAUUCAUGAGUAUGGUGCAUUUGCACCAUAAACGUGAAUAUAUUCCUUCGUGGUUCUCAUAAUCGUGAAAUGACUUCACGGUUUCGAGAAUUGAUUUUUUUCUGUGUACUAGUUCACUUCACUUUUGUUUUGCACUGUGUUAGUUGUUCUCUCUUGAGUACUUACAUACUUACUCUUCAGUUUUGAUCCGUUCGUAGCGGAUGACCAUACGGUCACUGCUGUGUUAUUGUUUUUCCUUGAAGGGAUCGCAGUUGUUUUAUUAGAAGAGUUUGUUUAUACUCUAAUAGAUAGUUAAUUUCCUGGAGCACAAAUUCAUAUUUUUGGCAUUUUCUAAUUUGCUUACUGUUAAUAGUUUAUAUUUGUAUUUCCUAUUAAGAUUUUUUUGUAGUAGUAUUAAACUAAGUCCCUCUAAACUGUUAUUUAUGCGAUCUUCUGUCAUUAGAAAAAAAUACAUUUAUUGUAUUGUCAUGGAGUCACGGAUGAAUAACAAUCGAACCGCACUGGUUGAAGGCUAGAACCACGCUUAGUGUCUUCCCGCGGGCUGAACUUGUUACUGUUGAGAAUAUUUCAACAAUUGCUCUCGGUCUAAAUGUCUACCAGUUGAUGUCUUUAUUAUGUCGAUUCAUCUUGCGAAACCACAAAGUAAACAAAGUGAAUUUCUCUUUUUCCGUGCUUGUCAAAAUCGCGCAUCUCUCUUUUUCGUUUCCCUUUCAUUCCCAAAUCACUGCUCACAUCUCUGGCGCUGUCAUUCGAGCACACCCCGAGAAAAAGAAAACUCACAGCUCAAAUUUCAUUACAACCACUCUUAUUUUUACAGAAACAGCUUCCAGCGGACAAAAUUGAUCUUGAAUUCGUAAAAUUGUCCCACAAAGUGCUCCUUUUUCAACCAACAAUUUGAUGAUGGGGCGUCUAACGGGGUGCCACCUAAAUGAGUGUCUCACGUCUGAAAUGUCUGAAUGUCUCCCGAUAUUUUAAGGUAUAGUCUCCACGAUUGAUGUCUUUAUUAUGUCGAUUCAUCUUGCGAACAAACAGAAAUGAUUAAUCACGCCCCUUUUCUUUCGAAAACAUCUGCCAGUUUUGGCGGUAAUGGGACGAUGUCCGGGGUUGUGAAGUCGGAACAUUCUGUGGAUUGGUUGCAAAUGUGGAAGUUUAACUCGGCCAGUUGUGCUGGUUAUUUGGAAAUAUUGGAAAUUGUUGCACCGGAUAGUUUUGGCGGGUGUUUGAAAAGGUCGGUUGUUUGGAGUCUGGGAGACAUGUAGGUUUAAGUGACCUGACAUGCUUCCCUAAUUCCUCAUGCAAGCCUCCGAGGAAUACUUUGAGUUUAGUUUGUUGAAAUAACAAUAUUUCAGAAGAAGUAUCAAGCGAUUCUUCCAUUGCAUUCCAUUGUCUGUGUGACUUGGUCAUUAUUUCUUCGAAUGUGGAAUAACGUGUACUGUAGUUAUCCAAUGAUCUCAUAAUCGUGUUGACGUCGUGGAUGGUAAAUAACUUACUGCUGAGCAGUUCCUUGUUGGCUAGCAUGAUGGCUUCUCCGAAUUCCUCUAGUUGCUUUUGAAGUGAAUCCAUGUUGGAGAUUAUAGCGGUUAAGCUCACAAAUUAUAGGCCCUUUCUCUGGUGUUCUCGUUCGAAUUUGAUGAAUCGGUUUGCCGCGGUUGUGAGGUUGUUAACGCGUUCUUGCAAUGCGUUGUUUAUGAGGUGCUACUGGUUGUUCUGUUUGAUGAGUAGAUUGAGGAUGUCGUCGAUCAUCCGUAGAUCGUCUUCGUCGGGGAUUCCUGCUAUCUGUUUCCAUGCUUUUCCAAUGGGGUUCCAUCUCCGAUGCCGUCUUGUUUCUUUAAAUCUAUGAGUUCGUACAAUGGUUUGUAGGAGUCCGAUUUUACCAUGCCUUUGUCUAAUGAACCAUCCAAUUCUGGAAUAAGCUGAAUUGCAUCCAUCACUUGCAAAUUCGCCAUCUUUGACCGUGUUUUUUGCGAAUUUCCCUUUUUCCCAUGCCUGUCAAAAUCAAACAUCUCUUAAGUUUCCCUUUCAUUCCCAAAUCACUGCUCACAUCUCUGUCGCUGUCAUUCAAGCACACCCCGAGAAAAAGAAAACUCACAGCUCAAAUUUCAUUACAACCACUCUAAUGUUUAUAGAAACAGCUCUCUCAGCGAACAAAAUUGAUCUUGAUUUCGUAAAAUUGUCACACAAAGUGCUCCUUUUUCAAGCAAUAAUUUGACGAUGGGUCUCACGUCUGAAGUGUCUAAAUGUCUCCCGAUUUUGACGGUUCAGUCUCCACGAUUGAUGUCUUUAUUAUGUCGAUUCAUCUUGCGAACAAACAGAUUUUUUUUUUUUUUUGGUCGGGGAAAUAGGGCCGGGUUUCACACCGGAUGAAGCCAACACUAGUGUGGCUCGGUCGUGGGCCGUUGAACUAUAGUUUGUAGGAAUUAGGCAGUUUGACCUCACCUUUGUCCCACUUCGUGAAGCCACUUUCUGAUUUUUUAAUUUUUCUUCGAGUUCCUCAGUGGUGUAAUCAGCGGCGUCCCGGUGAAGCGUGCUGUACGGAAUCUAAGUCAUGAACGAUGAAGUCGGGACGUGAUAUUAAUUUAUGUCCCAACUCUUUGAGGUUCUAAGUUAGACUGCCUUUAUUCAAAAACAAAUUCGUUUGCUGCUCCCUGGUUGGAGACACUUGAAGUCGCUUACGAUCCAGACACAGCCCAAUAGUAAUUUGAUGCUGUGGGACCGUCCUAAACUAAAAUAUUUGGUCAGCAGAAUGGGUGCGAUCCGAUCGUCGGUCAUUGGAUCGCAGCAUUCUGCUGACGCGUUCUCGGAACGAAUAGUUGCAACAUUGUAGCAACUGUCGUUCUUACUAGGGCGGUAUGUUGAUCCUGGUACUCCUUGAUUUUUGAAUUCAGAUCUUUCCAGGGUUUCCGUGUGCACCUCUUGAUUCUCGAUUACGGUGACCUGUUGGUCACCGAUCUGCUUCACAUUAUUUUCCUUCGACGUUUCGUUUCCCAUUCUGGGUUUGGGACUAUCACUUAUUAGUUCGGAGCUUCACGACUGACUGGCUGGGAAUUCGUUAAAUGAGUGUACUUUUUUUUUAAUCUAACCUAUUUUUCCCUUGAAUUUUUGUUCCAGUUUGGAAGUGGUUGCGUUUUUAAUUAAAAUUAAAUCUGUAAUAUUAUAACGAUUGCUUAUGUUCGUGUCAAUGUUAUUUAUAAUUCGUUUUUGUUUGGAUUUUAACAAACUGUCGCGCGCGGACAUAUUUCCGUUUCUCCUUGCAACUCAGAUGGGAUGUUGCGUAAUUUCCCAUACAACAACUCUUACGGAGUCUUAUUAGUUUGUUUAAUAUUCACUAGUUCUUGUGUAAUACUUUUCUUCAUAGUUCCUCCCGCUUGUUCUUCAUUAGUUAACGAACAAAGAAAAUUAGAUCUUCACUACUUCUGUUCUGUUGCUUUUAAUUUUUGUAUCACAGUUCGUCUCACUAGUUCAAGUUUCCACAACAGGUUAUAAUCUGAUGAUUUUAACAUUUUGAGCAUUUGAUAAAUCUGACCCACUAUCGCGGGCUGAACUUGUUACUGUUGAGAAUAUUUCAACAAUUGCUCUCGGUCUAAACGUCUAAACGGAAGUCUCAGUCUUCUCGAUCAGGACCUCCACGGUUGAUGUCUUUAUUAUGUCGAUUCAUCUUGCGAAACCCCAAAGUCAACAAAGUGAAUUUCCCUUUUUUUCGUACCUGUCAAAAUCACGCAUCUCUCUUUUUAGUUUCCCUUUCAUUUUCCAAAUCACUGCUCACAUCUCUGCCGCUGUCAUUCAAGCACAACCCGAGAAAAAGAAAACUCACAGCUCAAAUUUACAACCACUCUAAUUUUUAUAGAAACAGCUCUCCCAGCGAACAAAAUUGAUCUUCAAGAAGUCAUUUCUUUGCUUCUUAUUGCAAUGAUUGACCGAUAAAAAAUAAUUUUGAUUUUUGCAACGGUCUUAAAAGACAAUCGCUUUGUUUGUUUUUGAUUUAAUCGAAGUGUAACAAAGUCUUCGAUUUUUUGAAAAGUGUUUCUUUUGUAUUUUCUUAAGAUUAUAAUUAUUUUGACUAUUGUUUUAAACGAUAGUCUUUUUGUUUUAGAUGUUUUCAAACGUAAAUUUAUAAAAUUUUCUAUUUUGUAAUUAAUUUCUCUUGCUGUUUUAAUUAAGAAAUUAAGUUGGUCUUCUCUAAUAGAUUUUUCAUGUUUUAAUAAUAACUCUACUAUUUCUUUAUAGCAUUCUUUCGCGAUAUCGCGUUUAAGAAUUUGUGUUUUCGUUUGAAAUCUUCUAUUUGGGUUUUUUUCUAAUGUGCUUAGUAUGUUAUUUAAUUUUUUUAUGUUACUAUCUAUAGUUUCUGACAUUUGUAGAACUUACUUUGUUUCUUUAAUUUAUAAUUACUUCGCUGCUGGGGUCCUCUUAGGCAUCGUGGAAAGGUAUGCAAGUCGCAUGAGCGCGCUCCCUUUAGCCGUUGACUAAAUCUCCGUUGAUCCUCAGUAAAUAACUGCUAUUAGGGUGCCUCCGAGGUUCUCUUCGAUGACUUUGUGAUGAGUCAUUAUUCCCUUUUCCGUUGAAAUGAGUAGGUGCCCGGUUAUUGAUGGUAGUAAACAAGUGCGUUUCAGGAAUUUCAACGUUUGUUUCUUUUUUAUCGGCACCGGUUUGGUAACGAAUAUCGCCUGAAUCUCCUUGUUGAUUUUUAAUUUUCCGUUGACUGUUUUCACUAUGUUUUCUUCUAGUAGGCACGUUUUCAAUUGUGCGUGGUUUAGUUCAAUUGGUUUUCCUUCUUCAGCUGCCAACUGUAACUUUCGUAACUCGUUGCUCAGCUUUGUUGAUUUCAUUUUUCAUUGUUUUUGCAGUUUUUUUUUUUUUUUUUUUUGAUCGAAACUUAUUGUUCUUUCUUAAUCACCACUUCACUUUUGCGUUACGAUGCUUGAGAGCGAUACUACUCUUCGUAGUCUGUCCUCUGUUCUCAUCCGUUCGAACUUAAUUAUGGCACGAUAUAGCACAUAUGCGAGCGUAAUAAAAAUUACUGCUACAGCUGCAUAUGCUAACACCGUUGUCGCGCUCGCACUUUUUUCCAAGUGUGCUGUUUGCAGCACAUUCGCGUUUAUGAUGCGUAUUGUCUCCUCAUGCAAUAAGGGCGGCUUUGGUGUACUUUGUUCAGUACCCAUCGUUAACUUAAAAUGUUAUUUUUUUCACACUUUUGUCUUUUGAUCUGCGGCACGUAGUUUUCCAGUGUGGUGGCAUUUCGGGUCACUACGGCGUGCUGUCAAAACUUUGACGCGAAGCCGCUGUCACGGUCGCCAUAUAAUAUCUCAAAACGUUCGACAGUGCGAGGCGUAAGAACCGCGGGGAAACCUGCAGGGACUUUCUUUGCAUUAAGAGCUAUCCAAGGUGUGGUAGACUGUGAGGAGCAGUAACCAGCUCUGAGCUCGAAAUAAAGUAGACAAGUCGCCUUGAUGUUCCAGCCGAAAAAGACUGAUUUUUGUUUAUUUGAACUCGGGUAUUUAUACUAGUCAAAUUUGUUGCAUCACAUGUAAUUUGAGUGGUGACACUUCAGUAUAGACUUCUGGAGUUGGCUUGUACUGGGUUGAACCCUUGCGCUGGCUCAGCAGGAGUCAGCGUCCCGGCCAAUUGUCGAUGAACCGAAAUAUGGUUCGAAAAAGGCUAUACGCAAGCAUCAGCAAUUAUGCUUGCGCCAAGUGGUUCUAACUGUGUGUGGGCUCUACAGCCAGGCAGGGUUUGUGUUUUGAAAGACAAAACCUGGUCUUGUUGUGCGAGGUCCGGGCAUGGUAAUAAAAAUGGAAAUUAAGUGUGAAUGGGUAUGUUGGGAAUGCAGUGGUGUUCAGACUAUUACAGGUGCAAUUGCUGUCUCAAUUAGUUGAAGUCGGUUUUCUGAUGCUGCUCGAAGAGCAUUUAGAUCUUGUGCUGAAUGUCCGGCGCCGUUUCCAGCAUUAUUUGCGGCGGUCAGCGUGGGCCCGAUCGCUAAUAGCUCGGUUUAUCUGGCGCCAGUUAUAAAUUCUGAACCCUUACAGGGUUUUUAAAAACGAAUUUAUUCACGUAACUUAAACUAAUUCACUUUCACUUUUGAUUUGAUGCUCGAUGGCUGGUGUUGUAGACUUGUAGUAUUCUUGCAACUUCGAUGAACGGUGAUCCUGAUGGUUAGAAGGUCCAAGCCGGUAGACUGAUGCUCCUGGCGAAUCAAACUCCUAAAACAGAAUGGCUUCCUCUGGUUGGUAGCUGAGUAUUUAUAUGCGUCCUAAUUAUGAAGUGUCAUUCAGGGCGCGUGGCGUGAUCGGGUGCAACGCCUAUCGAUGUUUUGGGUUUACGCCAGUUAUAAAACGUCCAUGGUAGAAGGGAAGAUGUUUCGAAAUUAUCGUGUUAGGGGUUGUGAUAUGAAUAACUGUGUUCUGCAGAGGUUCAGACUUGAAUGAUAUUUUAUUCUGAGCUUAGAGUUUGGGAAACCUAGCGCAAGCGUUGGCUGGCUUCGACAUGUUGUUCAAACAUGUGGCCAGGGUUUAAACAAAUGCGCUGUACUUGAAGAGUCAGCGCAGCGUUAACAUUUGGUUGCAAUAACAAAGGGGGUCAUGGUUAUGAGGAAAAGGUUCUGUUUAUUACUUGAGUGUCGUCGUGUGUGGGUAUGCAAAGAAGGUCUCAGAAGGAAGAAUGCGGAUAAUAGCUUAAGUUAUGUAAUGGAAUUUGAGUAAGCUUUGGAAAGGAUUUAUGGGAAUCCAAGGAUAAGGAUAAUUCGAUAUGUUACAUCUGGUACGCUACAGUCCUCUAGCUGUGGGCGCAGACCAGGGGGUCUCGCCCGAGGAAUAUUACCACAAUCUAAAGUGCACUCAAGUUUAUCUGAUAAGCGAAGCGGACUUCCAGCAGGCUGAACUUGUUACUGUUGAGAAUAUUUCAACAAUUGCUCUCGGUCUAAAUGUCUAUAUGUCUAAACGGUAGUCCCAGUCUUCGCGACCAGAAUCUCCACGGUUGAUGUCUUUAUUAUGUCGAUUCAUCUUGCGAAACCACAAAGUCAACAAAUUGAAUUUCCCUUUUUCCGUGCUUCUCAAAAUCGCGCAUCUCUCUUUCGUACAAAUCUCCUUUAAAGACUUGUUAUUACAUCUCAAUGGGCUUCUUCAAUAGUAGUUACGAGACGAUGUUGGUUGCUUCAAGUUCAGCCAAGAAUGAAUUUAUCUAUCGUACUUAAAACUUAAAGAAGGCUGUACGGAAUCUAAGUCAUGAACAAUUCCGAGCAAUACCCACAGCAGCAACGUUUGCUGCUCGUGAUAUAUUGAGUGUUGUUCCAGCACGUUUAUUAUGGCGAUUUGUGGGUCGCCAGUCGACUGCGCUUUUGAUUGCGGUUUUCCCAUUAUGUCAUCUAUGUCACUAAUGUUCACUGCUCACUAUCACAAAAUUUGUUAGGUGUUUACGCCGGUCUGCUCUCUAACACAAAAUUCACCAUUUAGUUAUCCAUUUACAUUUAAUGGAGAGGCUCGCCAUGUACGGAGUCUAACUUAGAACCUCAAAGAGUUGGGACAUAAAUUAAUAUCACGUCCCGACUUCAUCGUUCAUGACUUAGAUUCCGUACAAGGCUAUUUCGAGCCCAAGCGAGAGGUGCUAUUUACUCCCCUUUCAUUUCCAAAUCACUGCUCACAUCUCUACCGCUGUCAUUCAAGCACAUCCCGGGAAAAAGAAAACUCACAGUCAAAUUUCAAUACACAAUACAAAAUAGGUUGUACUAUGGGUCGUGUAGCUGCUUCCGUGGGGAAAAGCUCCGGAUGCUUAUUUACCCACGCGGCCGACAAUUUUGAAGCUACUUUUUCAAUUUCUGAGCUGAAAUCUACCAAUGAUUUGCCCUUUUGUUUAAGUGCCCUCAAUUCGACUGUCACGGCUACUGGUGUUAGUUUAAUUCCAAAUCGAGAUCUUAGAAUAUUCCGUGCUGUUAUAAUGGUAGCUAUUCCCGUUAACUCACCGCGAGCGGCACCAGUUAAACGGUUGUUCAUAAAUUGAACAAACACAGCUUCAUCGACAGUUGAUUGCCCCGCUCGGAGAACCGUCACGUCGUUGAGCCAGUUGACAAAUCUAAAGCAGUCGCCAUUUUUACCUUUUUUAUAUAAAUCAUUCAAGGUUUUUAUAACUUUUACCAAAAUUCUUAAAAGAAAGUGGUUCAAUAUUUUUAUCGAGCCUCGCUGUUUUUUUUUGUAUUUAAAUUAUGGUUAGAUGAGUCCUCGGUGGCUCUGGAGUUCGGAUGAAAGACGAACCGCGCUGGUUGACUGUACGUGACGAACUGAUUUAUUGAAGAAGAAUGGAUGACCGCGACGACGACUUGGCGACGCGAAGUAUGCAAAUGUAGGGAAGUAUGGGGCGAUGGGCCGUAUGGGCCGUAAUUUAUAUACUUCUCCGUGUAUGUAUCGUAAUUUUUUAAAUAAUUUUUCUUGGUCUGACUCUUUACCGAGUUCGGUCUCAGUUAAUGCUAAAUCAUAUAUUUGCUUCGCUUUUUCCAAUUUUUCAACUCUCGUUUUAUCUUUAUAUCUCCUUUGACAAAUUUUUUAUAAUUUUUGUCAGACUUUCAAAGUACUGAUCCAGUGUCAUUAAAUCUCUCGUUAUUUUACUUGUUGUUAUUUAAAUUUAACAAAUUUUGUAAUUUCACGCAUUUUUUCCUGACUUUUUCUAACUUAUUUGUUUAUCUUGAGGCCGAGGAAACAAAAAUAUAGUGCGCUCACGUGAUCCAUGGGCAAUGCUUCCUGGGUUAAUGUGGUUAUGAUGUGCUCACGUGAUCCGGGGUAUUUUCAUUUAGGGCCUGCUUCUCGGGUUGUGAUGGAACCGACCGUUCCCACAACCGACGCUUAUUUGUUUGUUAUCUAAUUGAAGAUUGAUAAAAUUUUCGAUUUUUUUUUAAAAGUCUUUCGAGAUGCUUUAAUGUAGAAAUUGAGUUUAUUUAACUCAAUCUUCUCUUCAUUAAUGAGAAGAUUUUUUCAAUAUUGACUUUUGACUUGACUUUUUAAAAUAAGGGUUUUGGAUAAAAAAUUCCUAUAAGGAUUUUUUUCCAAGGUUUCAAGAAUUUUUUGUAAGGUUUUUAAGUUUAUGUCUAGUUUUCCAUAAAAAAUAUUCUGAACUAUAAAAAAAUACAAAAAUUAUUACUUAUCUUGUUGAUUGAAAAUUGGGUUGAUCCAUCACUUAUGUGCGCUCCCCUUCUUGAAGAUCACCGAUGUUGAGUCCGGGUAGAAACACCGCGUAAGGAUAUGCGUCGAAGGCAAUAUUUUAGCUGUCAUUUUUGUAAUGUUUUCCCUUUUAAUCACUUCCGGUUUCAAUACGAUGAUUUUAGUUAUAUUCUUAUUACACAUCACUUUGCCGUUUUCCAAUGUUGCCAGGUGUUCACGUAGUAAUUUUUUUUUAAAUUGUUGUUGGCUAUAUUCGCUGCUAUUUUUCCUCUUGUCCUUUUUUCAGGUCUAUUAGAGCUUGAGUUAUAUUUUUCUUCAUUUUGAUUCUUUUGAAAAUUUCAUCGUAGUUUAUCGCAAAUUAUCUGCAUUUAUUGUUUAUUUGUUAUCACUUCGUGUAGAUUGGCUAUUGACCUAGCCAUUUUUAUUGCUUGAACACGUGAAUAUUGUUUAUACAUUUUAAAUAUUUGUUAACGCGAAGUGUACAGCUACAUUGCUCAGAAUAAUCAUCAAUUUGAUGUUUUUUUUUAUUGUAUUAGAGAGAUUUUACACUUAUAUGCAUUCAUCUCUUGGAAAGGUCUUUACAUCUUUGCUUAAUAAUAGCACUUUUUGAGUUUUUUUUUUUGUUGGUCACCGAUCUGCUUCACAUUAUCUUCCUUCGACGUUUCGUUUCCCAUUCUGGGUUUGGGACUAUCACUUAUUAGUUCGGAGCUUCACGACUGACUGGCUGGGAAUUCGUUAAAUGAGUGUACUUUUUUUUUUUAAUCUAACCUAUUUUUCCUUCGAAUGUUGGUUCCAGUUUGGAAGUGGUUUCGUUUUUAAUUAAAAUUAAAUCGUUAAUAUUAUAACGAUUGCUUUUGUUCGUGUCAAUGUUAUUUUUAAUUCGUUUUUGUUUGGAUUUUAACAAACUGUCGCGCGCGGAUAUAUUUCCGUUUCUCCUUGCAACUCAGAUGGACUGUUGCAUAAUUUCCCAUACAACAACUCUUACGGAGUUUUAUUAGUUGCACAUUGUAACAUUUUGAGCACUUGAUAAAUCUGACCCACUAUCGCGGGCUGAACUUGUUACUGUUGAGAAAAUUUCAACAAUUGCUCUUGGUCUAAAUGUCUAAAUAACUUACAGUAGUCCCAGUCUUCUCGAACAGGACCUCCACGGUUGAUGUCUUUAUUAUGUCGAUUCAUCUUGCGAAACCCCAAAGUCAACAAAGUGAAUUUCCCUUUUUUCCGUACCUGUCAAAAUCGCGCAUCUCUCUUUUAUUCCCCUUUCGCUUUUUAAAUAACUGCUCACAUCUCUGCCGCUGCCACUCUAAUUUUUAUAGAAACAGCUCUCCCAGCGAACAAAAUUGAUCUUGAUUUCGUAAAAUUGUCCCACAAAGUGCUCCUUUUUCUAGCAAUAUUUUGACGAUGGGGCGCUUAGCGGGCGCCACCUAAAUGAGUGUCUCAUGUCUUUGUCUGAAAUGUCUCUCCUAUUAAGGUGCAGUCUCCACGAUUGAUGUCUUUAUUAUGUCGAUUCAUCUUGUGAACAAACAAAAACUUCUCUCUCAGUCUAUCAUGUUUUCAAAUGUUAAAAAUAAGCCGCUUAAAUUUUUAUUAUUCCCAAAACCAAAGAGAAAGCCCAACCUACUCUCAUUCAAUUGUCCUGAGAUGAAUUGCAGCUUUGUUUCGUACUGUCUAAGUCUUAAAUUCGCGUUACUACAACACCACUCUAGUUUUUAUUAAAAUCAACUCCCCGCUCAGAAGGGAAAUUGCUCCUUUUGCAACCAACAACAUGAUGUUAAAGUUCAAUUAAAUAUUCAACACUUGUCUUAUUUUUGUCUCAACACAGUUUGUCUAUUAUCGGUAUUUAUUUUUUAUUAUAUCAACUCUUGGUUGAUUAGUUUUAGAUUUUCAUCGAUUACACACUGACUCUCGCUUAUUUUUGAGAUAGUUUACUUCUUUUUGCAUAACACAGAAGGAGGUGAAAAUUCCUUCGCAUUGACCUUGGAUUGUUUCAAUUUUGAUGGCCAUUUGUUUUAGCGCUGCCAUCAGUGACUUACGUUCGCAGAGUUUCCAAAAACCAGCUGCUGAAAUUUUUAUUUUUCCCAAAACAAAACGGAAAGCCCAACCUCAUUCAAUUGUCCUGCGAUGCAAAACUUGCAGUUUCGUUUCGUAAAACUGUCCUUGCCUAAACUGUCUAAGUCUUAAUGUCAAGUUACUACAAACACCCACUCUAAUUUUUUAUUAAAAUCAACUCCCCGCUCAGAAGGGAAUUGCUCCGUUUUCAAUUAGAUAUUCAACACUUGUCUUAAUUUUGUCUCAACACAGCUAGUCUCGCCUUGAAAAAAAGAAUGUCUUGAAUUUGAUCUACUUUGAAAAAAGAAGAAUUACAGCGAAAAAAAAAAUACCAACUACUGCGAUUUAUAUUUACGGCAAGGGUGAUCCAUCGCCAAAAACAGGAUUUUUUUUCAGUCUACAAAGAUUUUUGUUGAUGCAGCUAAAUUUGUUUCUGAUUUAGCUCAAAAUUGAUGUUGAUGCUUACAAAUUUAGCUGUUUCAUAAUUGAGCUUAAAAAAUGGCGAUGGAUUACCUCUCCGUGUUACAAUUAAGACCUACAAUAAAAAACAAUAAAAAACAAAAAAAAAAAAACACAAGCAAACAAACUAAUUCUGACUAAUUUUAAAUUAGGCUAUUUUGACUAGAUUGUUUCAAAAAACACAAAAAUGAUUUAUGAGCAUUUAAAAGCAAUAUAAAUCAAACAAAUUACAAACUAAAAUUUAUAGAAUGUUGAAGAGUUUUUAGUUCAGAGUGAAUUAUUUCAUUUUAUUUUCAAAAAAAUAUUGAGUAGUUAAUAUUUCUAUGUAAAAAUUGUAAAAAAUACUAUUUUCAAAAAAAAAAAUACAUUUUUAAGCACAAAUUUCAUCAUAAUAAAUGUCAUCAGACUGAUAAUUAAAUUAUAAUUAAAAAAUACUAAUACAGAGAAAAAAAUCUGCAUUACUUCAAUGACAUAAAAAGAGAACAACUGUGUACAUAAAAAAUCAGGUAACAUUCGAUGUAAGUUCAGAAAACAAACAAGCAAACACUUAAAUAUGUCACCAUAAUUUAAUUGUAAUUGGAAAAAUACAAAAAAAUACUGAACACAUAGAUAUUAAAUUGAUAAUUAAAAUCAUUACAAAACCAAUGCUAUGCUAUGCUAUUCCGAGAAAAAAAAUGUUGAAAAUGUUUAUAUUCACAAUAUAGAAUUAAGUAAAAAUAAUUCUGACAACAACAACAACAAUGUAAACAAUCUAAAAAUAACUCAACGUCGGAGUCCGGACCAGAAUCAACCCAACAUCGAGUGCAACCAGCAUCGCAAAUCAAACAACUCAAACAAAAUUCGACGAAAAAACGGCAUUGAAGAAAAACCUCCAGAAUCAUAACAAAACGAAGCUUAGACAACCUUCAGCCACGUCAUGGAAAAAAACACACACACACAAAUUUUCAAACGCUGAUUUGCCAACCGAAAAAAAUCAAAGUGAGCACUGAAAAGCAAUUCUGCAUCCACAAAAAAAAACACAAUCUCAACAAAAAAAAUAAAUCCUCGCUCAUACGCUCGCCAAAAAAAAUCGACUUGACCUCGAGAAUCGAACCCAAGCGCACGCAAUCGCAGCGCGCCCGCCCAACCACCUGAGCUAAAAGCUAAAAAGUUCGUUCGAUUGGACGAAAAGUGGUUUUGCGAAUGUGGGCAAAGCAGGCCGAGAGUGGCGCUCUCUCUCGCGAAGCUUGAAGCUCACGAAACAAAGAAAAAAAACAAUAAAGAGUGUUUGAGAGAGUGAGGAUGAUUGUGUCUGGAAGCUAAUGUGGAGAAUGAUUGCAAAAGAUUUCAGAGAUAUUUUCUUCGAAAAUUUGGAAGAUUAUGAAAUUUGCUCAAACUUUAAAAAAAUGUUGGUGGAAAUCUUUGUUUGGAAAUAUCGUAUAAACUCUUUUAGAUUUUUUUUAUGAAAUGGUUGAAGGUUGUUUGCCGGUAGAUAUUGAUUUAAUUUAAUUUCAAUGCUGUUAAAAUCAAUUGUUUUGGGUUUCAAAAAGUCAUCAGAGAAGACACCUUCCCACUGGACUGGAGAGAAAUGGACAAACAUCAACUACGAAAUUUAAACAAAUUCCAAAAAUUUAAAGUCGGCGAAGCAACAAAAAGUUUUAAAAAAGUCUUGAAAAAUCAUAAUAAAAAACAACAAUAAAAUCAUGAAA